CACAAACAUUACUUACAGAACAAUAGUUGGACCCCUGCAGUGCCACUUAGUCAAAUAAUCAAUGUAAAAGUAAGAUUUUAAGAGUAACAUAAUAGUGUAAAGUUUUACUUUUAAAAGCAACGCUUCCAGUCCUGAUUUUAACACACUCUUUGUUCAUAUUUCUUGUGUUGUGACGUGCGAUAACCCCUCUCUUCUUUUUACAGUCGUAGCACUUGCUGAAAGCACUUGGCUUUCUGUUUCAUCUGGGAUGAUGUGCUCUCUCCUCUCUCCGUGAAGACAUUCCUGACGGCCGAGAUAGAAAUAAAGAAGUUUCGAGGCCGACGCAGCACACAGGGGGUGUGUGUGUGGGUACGGUUCGCAGCAAGUCCAGCCGCCCGCACCUGGACCGGGGUGAAACGGAAUAUGAGCUGAAGCCGAGGCCUGCCAGCGAAGAGAGAGGAGCUCAGGGUCAGGGGGAGAAAGAGAGAGAGAAGCUUAAGGAGAUGUUCGCUAUGAAACCCCACAUUUCCUUUGAAGGAGGGACUUGAGCCACUUCUAGAGGUCAGAAUAUCUCAGAAAGUUGAGGAUGACCAGUAAGCAACCACCCAGAACUGCAUAGCAACAGCCUAGCAACCAUCCACAUCCUAGCAUCAUGGUGGAGACUUUUACAUAAGCAAGCACCUCUAAACAUCUGCAUUAUAUUGCAUUAUAUCCCGUCCCUAAGUAUUAGUACAGACACAUGCCUGAAAAAUCAUCAUGGUGGUUUCUCUGCAGUUAAAACCGAAUUCCUGCUGUUUGUGCCAUUGAUUUUGUUGUCAUUUCUGUCUGGAGAGCAGAAACAGUUUAAAUCUUGCCCUCUCACAGUAGCUAUAAACAUAGACUGACCCCAGCCCUCGCGCUGACAUUAUAAAGAGUGUGCCGGUAGUUAUGUGUGAGUCAGUGUUGUGUAAAAACAAACCAAAUGCCAUGGACAGAGCCGCAGUGUGUCAGCAGUGCUGUUAGCAACUGCUUCAGAAACAGCCUGCCUGACAUUUCCUACAAAUGGAUAGAGUGCAAGAGAAAAAGCACAUCCUGGAGGAAAUGGCAGAGUUUUUGACUCCACUGGCCCGUUAGAGAAUAGCUUUCAUCGAUUUGGACCAUAAAGGCAGAGUAGAAUGGUCAGUGUUCAUGUUGCUUUACACUAACCUGCUAUUGGACGCUUGGAGAACAUGACAUGAGUGUGUAUUGCUAUCUCAGGCUAUCUGGCAUGUCAAUAUUAACUUCUUUUGUACAGAAAAGUGUGGUUCUGAUGUGAUCUUUUAAAAACACUAUAGCUACCCAAAAAUGCUCAGGUGUUGCUCUCUUAUGGCUUGGUUUCAUUUUAGUAUCAAAUUGAUCAAAAAUGUGAUUAGAGGACGUUGAGAUGAUAUCUCUGGCCUUUUGAUUGCAUACUUUAGUAUUUUGGCUAAUCUGUAAUAUUGUUGAGAUCUUGAGAUCUCUCCUUUUAUUCUUA